UACGUAGGUGGCAAGCGUUGUCCGGAAUUAUUGGGCGUAAAGCGCGCGCAGGUGGUUUAAUAAGUCUGAUGUAAAAGCCCACGGCUCAACCGUGGAAGGUCAUUGGAAACUGGGGAACUUGAGUGCAGAAGAGGAGAGUGGAAUUCCAUGUGUAGCGGUGAAAUGCGUAGAUAUAUGGAGGAACACCAGUGGCGAAGGCGACUCUCUGGUCUGCAACUGACGCUGAGGCCCGAAAGCGUGGGGAGCGAACAGG
rnacentral:rRNA from 1 species